GGGGGAUGGCAGGCGGGAAGCCGGCUGGAGGACGGGGGCUCUGCCCUGGGAAGUGGCUUCUUAGCCAGCCUGGGCAAACUUUGGGGACGGCCCCAUGUCUGGGGCUGCUGGGCUUUGCCCUCCCUGCUCUGCUCAGGCGGUCUCCUAUAGGAAGCAAACGCACUGUCAGGUUGGGGGAGAGGGAUGUAAAUAGCCUCUGUAAGAUUUUAGUUGGACAAGAAAAUCUGCACUUGAGACAUCCUGACUGAAUUUAAGGCAUGAUGAUGCACAACCGUGAUGAACUGACUACUGAUGCUCUCCCAGUUUGUUCACAGGGAGGAUGAUGGUGACACAAGGACCCUUCUGCUGGAAAUAAAGCAGCUUCAUAGACUUGCUUAGAAAGGAAGAGUAAUUUACCCACACAGAAAUGUUUACAAAUAUAGAGUGCAAGUUGAAAGAGAAGGAAAACAGCAAACUUGGAUUAUUUAUUUUGUUCGAAAUGGUGAACUCAUGUCUCCCUAAAGCCUGCACUCCAGCCUGAGCUCCUGGGGUGGUGUUGGAAGGACUGCAUCUUCCCCAUUUCUGGGAAGCCAGCUUAUUAAUAGUGUAUCCUUCAUGCCUGAAAUCCACUCUUUUCUACAUUUUCUGAUUCUUCUUUACUCUCUCCAUUUAC
rnacentral:lncRNA from 1 species